UACGUAGGGCGCAAGCGUUGUCCGGAAUUAUUGGGCGUAAAGAGCUCGUAGGCGGCUUGUCACGUCGGGUGUGAAAGCCCGGGGGCUUAACCCCGGGUCUGCAUUCGAUACGGGCUGGCUAGAGUGUGGUAGGGGAGAUCGGAAUUCCUGGUGUAGCGGUGAAAUGCGCAGAUAUCAGGAGGAACACCGGUGGCGAAGGCGGAUCUCUGGGCCAUUACUGACGCUGAGGAGCGAAAGCGUGGGGAGCGAACAGG
rnacentral:rRNA from 1 species